GAUGAACGCUGACAGAAUGCUUAACACAUGCAAGUCGAUUCAAGUUACCUUCGGGUAAUGAGGAUGGCGGACGGGUGAGUAACGCGUAAGGAACUUGCCUCUUGGUCUGGGACAACUGUUGGAAACGACAGCUAAUACCGGAUAUUAUGAGAUUCUCGCAUGGGAAACUUAUGAAAGCUAUAUGCGCCAAGAGAGAGCCUUGCGUUCCAUUAGCUAGUUGGUGGGGUAACGGCCCACCAAGGCGACGAUGGAUAGCCGGCCUGAGAGGGUGAACGGCCACAAGGGGACUGAGACACGGCCCUUACUCCUACGGGAGGCAGCAGUGGGGAAUAUUGGANNNNGGGNNNNNAGCCUGAUCCAGCAAUUCUGUGUGCACGAUGAAGGUCUUCGGAUUGUAAAGUGCUUUCAGUUGGGAAGAAGAAAGUGACGGUACCAACAGAAGAAGCGACGGCUAAAUACGUGCCAGCAGCCGCGGUAAUACGUAUGUCGCAAGCGUUAUCCGGAUUUAUUGGGCGUAAAGCGCGUCUAGGCGGAAAAAUAAGUCUGAUGUUAAAAUGCGGGGCUCAACUCCGUAUUGCGUUGGAAACUGUUUUUCUAGAGUACUGGAGAGGUGGNCGGAACUACA
rnacentral:rRNA from 1 species